CCUACGGGAGGCAGCAGUGGGGAAUUUUGCGCAAUGCUCGUAAGAGUGACGCAGCGACGCCGCGUGAAUGACGAAGGCCUUCGGGUCGUAAAGUUCUUUCGACAGGGAAGAAAAUGCCUAUAAGUAACUGUGUAUGUAUUGACGGUACCUGUAUAAGCAGCCCCGGCUAACUCCGUGCCAGCAGCCGCGGUAAGACGGAGGGGGCGAGCGUUGUUCGGAGUGACUGGGCGUAAAGAGCACGUAGGCGGUGUUGUAAGUCAUUAGUCAAAGACUAGAGCUCAACUUUAGUAAGGCUAGUGAUACUAUAAUACGAGAGUAUCAGAGAGGAUUGCAGAAUUCCUGGUGUAGCGGUGAAAUGCGUAGAUAUCAGGAGGAAUACCGUUAGCGAAGGCGGCAAUCUGGCUGGAAACUGACGCUGAGGUGCGAAAGCGUGGGUAGCAAACAGGAUUAGAUACCCCAGUAGUC
rnacentral:rRNA from 1 species